rnacentral:misc_RNA from 1 species
GAUGAAGAACGUAGCGAAAUGCGAUACGUAAUGUGAAUUGCAGAAUUCAGUGAAUCAUCGAAUCUUUGAACGCAUAUUGCGCUCUUUGGUAUUCCGAAGAGCAUGCUUGUUUGAGUAUCAGUAAACACCUCAAAGCUUUUGGAUUUUUUAAUCGAAAAGCUUUGGACUUGAGCAAUCCCAACACCAAUCUUUUUGAGAUCGGUGGCGGGUUGCUUGAAAUGCAGGUGCAGCUGGACAUUCUCCUGAGCUAAAAGCAUAUUCAUUUAGUCCCGUCAAACGGAUUAUUACUUUUGCUGCAGCUAACAUAAAGGGAGUUUGCCCGUAUUGGCUGACUGAUGCAGGAUUUCACAAGGGUCGGCAACGAUUCUUGUUAAACUCGAUCUCAAAUCAAGUAAGACUACCCGCUGAACUUAAGCAUAUCAAUAAGCGGAGGA